UUACCGAGUGUAGGGUUCCUAGCGAGCCCAACCUCCCACCCGUGUUUACUGUACCUUAGUUGCUUCGGCGGGCCCGCCAUUCAUGGCCGCCGGGGGCUCUCAGCCCCGGGCCCGCGCCCGCCGGAGACACCACGAACUCUGUCUGAUCUAGUGAAGUCUGAGUUGAUUGUAUCGCAAUCAGUUAAAACUUUCAACAAUGGAUCUCUUGGUUCCGGCAUCGAUGAAGAACGCAGCGAAAUGCGAUAACUAGUGUGAAUUGCAGAAUUCCGUGAAUCAUCGAGUCUUUGAACGCACAUUGCGCCCCCUGGUAUUCCGGGGGGCAUGCCUGUCCGAGCGUCAUUGCUGCCCAUCAAGCACGGCUUGUGUGUUGGGUCGUCGUCCCCUCUCCGGGGGGGACGGGCCCCAAAGGCAGCGGCGGCACCGCGUCCGAUCCUCGAGCGUAUGGGGCUUUGUCACCCGCUCUGUAGGCCCGGCCGGCGCUUGCCGAACGCAAAUCAAUCUUUUCCAGGUUGACCUCGGAUCAGGUAGGGAUACCCGCUGAACUUAAGCAUAUCAAUAAGCGGAGGAAAAGAAACCAACCGGGAUUGCCUCAGUAACGGCGAGUGAAGCGGCAAGAGCUCAAAUUUGAAAGCUGGCUCCUUCGGGGUCCGCAUUGUAAUUUGCAGAGGAUGCUUCGGGUGCGGCCCCUGUCUAAGUGCCCUGGAACGGGCCGUCAGAGAGGGUGAGAAUCCCGUCUGGGAUGGGGUGUCCGCGCCCGUGUGAAGCUCCUUCGACGAGUCGAGUUGUUUGGGAAUGCAGCUCUAAAUGGGUGGUAAAUUUCAUCUAAAGCUAAAUACUGGCCGGAGACCGAUAGCGCACAAGUAGAGUGAUCGAAA
rnacentral:rRNA from 1 species